UUGAAUGGGAGGGAUGAAAGCUAGUGAUAUAUAUUGGAUAGAGGUGUUGGUGCAUGAACCUAAUAGAAUAUCAUUCAUAUCCACUCCGGAACAGUGGGAAAAGACUUGCAACUUACACUUUUCAUUGAAAAUUACCUGACCUUGGAUGGUUUUGCACGCAUUUUCUCUCAAAUUCAUGUCAUCAGGUAUUGAAUCAAUCAAUUAGGAUCAGUGAAGGAGAUUAUCAUGAAGGAUAAAGAAGGUUGUCGGCGUCGCUGCAAUGGCUCGGUGGCACUCUAAUCUCGCUAGAUCUUGUACUGAUGGUGGAAGGUGGUGGAGGCUGAUGGGGUGGAGGUGGUGGCAUAUUUGCCGUAAAGGAGGUGGUCACCGGUGA